rnacentral:rRNA from 1 species
UACGGAGGGUGCAAGCAUUGAUCGGAAUUACUCGGCGUAAAGGGCGCGUAGGCGGCCAACUAAGUCAGACGUGAAAUCCCUCGGCUCAACCGGGGAACUGCGUCUGAUACUGGAUGGCUUGAAUUCGGGAGAGGGAUGCGGAAUUCCAGGUGUAGCGGUGAAAUGCGUAGAUAUCUGGAGGAACACCGGUGGCGAAGGCGGCAUCCUGGACCGAGAUUGACGCUGAUGCGCGAAAGCCAGGGGAGCAAACGGG